UGCUCAUAUAGUGUAAUGGACAGCACAACGGUCUUCUAAGCCGUAAGGUCUAGGUUCGAAUCCUAGUAUGAGCGCCAA
rnacentral:tRNA from 1 species